AAAAAAGAGAAGGUACUAAUAAAGCAAGAAAUCCGGAAAAAUGGGCUAAGAAUACGGGGCCAGGCAAAGAUUUGAAAGUCCGGUAACGCAGGAUUUCUUCUAUGGAGCUUCGGUCGCAAACCCAAAUUCAAACCUUCAAAUUAGAAUAAUUCUAGGAAAGAAAAAGAAAAAGAAAAAAAAUCUCCUUCGAUACUUGUCCUGAUUGAAUCGUUUUCUCUGAACCUAAGAAUUUAGGAAAUUUUAUAAAUUUGGAUGGAAUUAGGGUUUUUCUGUACCUAAUUCAUUUAUUAAUUAGUCUCCGAAAUAGAUAAGGGCCGAGAGGGGGUUCUCCAUUUCCUCUGCUUUCCUCUCCUCGGCCUCGAUUGUCAUUAUGUACGCAAUCGAUUGCAAGGUGACGUGUCGGUCCAUGAAAGGAUCCGGCAGCAGUUU
rnacentral:misc_RNA from 1 species